GACGAACGCUGGCGGCGUGCUUAACACAUGCAAGUCGAACGGAAAGGCCCUGCUUUUGUGGGGUGCUCGAGUGGCGAACGGGUGAGUAACACGUGAGUAACCUGCCCUUGACUUUGGGAUAACUUCAGGAAACUGGGGCUAAUACCGGAUAGGAGCUCCUGCUGCAUGGUGGGGGUUGGAAAGUUUCGGCGGUUGGGGAUGGACUCGCGGCUUAUCAGCUUGUUGGUGGGGUAGUGGCUUACCAAGGCUUUGACGGGUAGCCGGCCUGAGAGGGUGACCGGCCACAUUGGGACUGAGAUACGGCCCAGACUCCUACGGGAGGCAGCAGUGGGGAAUAUUGCACAAUGGGCGGAAGCCUGAUGCAGCAACGCCGCGUGCGGGGUGACGGCCUUCGGGUUGUAAACCGCUUUCGCCUGUGACGAAGCGUGAGUGACGGUAAUGGGUAAAGAAGCACCGGCUAACUACGUGCCAGCAGCCGCGGUGAUACGUAGGGUGCGAGCGUUGUCCGGAUUUAUUGGGCGUAAAGGGCUCGUAGGUGGUUGAUCGCGUCGGAAGUGUAAUCUUGGGGCUUAACCCUGAGCGUGCUUUCGAUACGGGUUGACUUGAGGAAGGUAGGGGAGAAUGGAAUUCCUGGUGGAGCGGUGGAAUGCGCAGAUAUCAGGAGGAACACCAGUGGCGAAGGCGGUUCUCUGGGCCUUUCCUGACGCUGAGGAGCGAAAGCGUGGGGAGCGAACAGGCUUAGAUACCCUGGUAGUCCACGCUGUAAACGGUGGGUACUAGGUGUGGGGUCCAUUCCACGGGUUCCGUGCCGUAGCUAACGCUUUAAGUACCCCGCCUGGGGAGUACGGCCGCAAGGCUAAAACUCAAAGGAAUUGACGGGGCCCCGCACAAGCGGCGGAGCAUGCGGAUUAAUUCGAUGCAACGCGUAGAACCUUACCUGGGUUUGACAUGGAUCGGGAGUGCUCAGAGAUGGGUGUGCCUCUUUUGGGGUCGGUUCACAGGUGGUGCAUGGCUGUCGUCAGCUCGUGUCGUGAGAUGUUGGGUUAAGUCCCGCAACGAGCGCAACCCUUGUUCACUGUUGCCAGCACGUUAUGGUGGGGACUCAGUGGAGACCGCCGGGGUCAACUCGGAGGAAGGUGGGGAUGACGUCAAGUCAUCAUGCCCCUUAUGUCCAGGGCUUCACGCAUGCUACAAUGGCUGGUACAGAGAGUGGCGAGCCUGUGAGGGUGAGCGAAUCUCGGAAAGCCGGUCUCAGUUCGGAUUGGGGUCUGCAACUCGACCUCACGAAGUCGGAGUCGCUAGUAAUCGCAGAUCAGCAACGCUGCGGUGAAUACGUUCCCGGGGCU
rnacentral:rRNA from 1 species